rnacentral:rRNA from 1 species
CGACUGCAACCGCGACAAAACCUUAGGCUAUCCCUUGACAUGUACCGGAAGCCAGCGAGAGAUCGAGGUGUGCUCGAAAGAGAGCCGUAACCAUCAGGUGCGUGCAUGGCUGUCGUCAGCUCGUGUCGUGAUGAUGAUUGGGUUAAGUCCCGCAACGAGCGCAACCCUUGUCAUUAGUUGACUACGAUAAGAGCACUCUAAUGAGACUGCCGGUGACAAACCGGAGGAAGGUGGGGAUGACGUCAAGUCCUCAUGGCCCUUAUGGGUAGGGCUACACACGUCAUACAAUGGCCGGUACAGAGGGCUGCCAACCCGCGAGGGGGAGCGUAAUCUCAAUGCAAAGCCGGUCGUAGUCCGUGAUCGCAGUCAUGCAACUCGACUGUCGUUGCAAGUCGGUAAUCGCCAUAGUAAGUC